AUUGAACGCUGGCGGUAGGCUUAACACAUGCAAGUCGAGCGGGGUGAUGGUGCUUGCACUAUCACUUAGCGGCGGACGGGUGAGUAAUGCUUAGGAAUCUGCCUAUUAGUGGGGGACAACAUCUCGAAAGGGAUGCUAAUACCGCAUACGUCCUACGGGAGAAAGCAGGGGAUCACUUGUGACCUUGCGCUAAUAGAUGAGCUGAAGUCGGAUUAGCUAGUUGGUGGGGUAAAGGCCUACCAAGGCGACGAUCUGUAGCGGGUCUGAGAGGAUGAUCCGCCACACUGGGACUGAGACACGGCCCAGACUCCUACGGGAGGCAGCAGUGGGGAAUAUUGGACAAUGGGGGGAACCCUGAUCCAGCCAUGCCGCGUGUGUGAAGAAGGCCUUAUGGUUGUAAAGCACUUUAAGCGAGGAGGAGGCUCUUUUGGUUAAUACCCAAGAUGAGUGGACGUUACUCGCAGAAUAAGCACCGGCUAACUCUGUGCCAGCCGCCGCCGUAA
rnacentral:rRNA from 1 species